UUCAGUAGAAUUGUAACGUUCUUUUUUACCAAAACAUCAUCAUCUCGUAGUUGCUCGAAAUCGUGAACAAUUUUCUCCUUAUCGGUCGGUUUUUCUCUAGAUUUAGCAGUGUCAGUCAUUAGACAAAAUAUAAUCCCUGCUGUGGGCAUAAGAUUAGGUAACUUCGGUAUACCAGGCCAACAGCGGAAGCGCUGAUGUUUGCGAGUGAAAAAAGCGGAGAAACAAAAGUGAAAUCUCUUGCUUUCGGGCAAGGCUGUUAUCGGAAUCUACUGAUAAGGAACCGUGCCGGGAUUUAACGGAAUUGUUCGAACGAGGCCCGAAUAGUGCAGGGGAAUGACGUUGGAUGCCAGCGUUUUACCAUUAGAGCUGGUAACCACCGCUCAGCCACUAGUUGGGCUAUCCGGCUUGAAUAUGCAACGGAACACUAUCAACAAACCGAUCUGGGAUGCGUUCAACAACAGCAAAAAGCCAGAAAGCGAAUCUAUAGAAUAUAAGCUUUUUCCACCCAGCCAUGAAUUUCCUUUAUCAACCAAAACACCAAUCCUACGAACGGUAUCACUCGAUAGGUAUCUUGAAACGAAACUAGAUGCUGAAACCGCAGAAACAUAUUUCGCCGGCAAAGACGAAAUACACGGCUAGCGGUAGUUUUAAUUCAAAAAGGUGCUAGCAUUCCUCAAGGAGAUGAUUUUCUUGCUUCCGAGGGGGCAUCCCACUUGACCAGCACCUGUAACAUUACCGCAAAAAUGCUCUUCGUGCUUCCUCACAACGAUAAUUGGAUGAAUCACAUAAUAAGACCACCCUUCUGGAACUUGCCCAGUCUUACUAUAACCAAAUGAUGAAGCAAAUUCGGUCGCAUCGAGAACAGCUUACCGAAUUCCACCAAAGGUUAAGAUUCGACACCAAUUUAAACUUAGGUUUAUUUCCGAGCUUAAAUUGGACCAAUUGAACGAGGUUCGAAUCGUAGACACCAACUGCCUCGAAGUCAAAACCAUAGCUGGUUUCGUGAGCUACAAAAUUUGUCGUCUAUUUUUCAAACUCAACGCACCAAAGGAUUCAAUAUCGCACUUUAAGAACCACAUCGUCAAAUAUCGCAGCCGAACCGUUCCAAGGAGCUGCUCUCCGAGCACUACGCCUGGCUGAGUGUGCAGUACAGUGCCUUCGGUGAGUUGUUUUGCGACGCAGUCGAGAACGGGCUGACGCCACAAACCCAAAAUUCUUUUUUUAAGGGGGGGAUUUGUUAGCAGCUUAAGUAUUUAUGGUAAAUAUUAGUAAAUAAUGAGUAUGUGUGUCCAAUCACAAAUGGUGACUUCUCAACACUGUUAGAAAUUUGUAAUUUCAAUUGUUACGAUUUGUUUGCUUUCGCAAUUAGGACUUAUCAUUCGUAGGGAUUCAAACCUACUUGUACUGAAGUAAACUUACAACUAACUUAAUUGCUAACUUAUUGACUAUAAAGAGAGCUUAUCGUAGCAAUUGAGGAUUGCAACGAUUUUUGUCGAAAAUUGUUAACAAUUUUACUUGACAUAGCUUCUAAUGUUUCAACGCCAGUAAGUCUGUGUAAUUCGAGUGUACCAAACCAAGGAGGACGCUUCAAAAUCAUUUUCAGAAUUUUAUUCUACAUCCUUUGAAGCGUUUUCUUCCUUGUUAAACAACAACUUGACCAAAUCGGUACAGCAUAAAGUACUGCUGGUCUAAAAAUAAAUAAAUAAAUCAGCAGUUUAUUCUUUAAAAAAAGUUUAGAAUUCCUGUUAAUGAGAGGGUAUAAACAUCUCGUAUAUUCGAUGCACUUCGCUUGAAAACUCUCAAUGUGCUCUUUGAAAAUAAGUUUUUUAUCGUAAAUUAGUCCCAAGUACUUAACCUUGUCAAACUAAGCUAAGCGCUGAAAUAAUUUCUUUUAUUAAUUUGUUUAUUCACACCUGCAGGCUUAUCCACAAAUGCUAACGCAGUGCUGUACAGUGACUUUUUCGGUAUACGAGUUAAUUCGAACAUCCUCGUAUAAAACCGCGUUAAAACAUGACUAAUAAAAUUUUAUGGAUUUUUCUGUAUGCGAAAAAUUUCGAAAGUACCUCAUUAAUUUUUUUUUAUGAUAAUAAAAUUAUGGUUUAAGUCAAGCCAUCAAGCUCUCAUUUUAACAAGAUGGUCAUCUCUAGUCGUUAGAUUUUGAAUAGCGAUAAUAGACCCUUGUUGAAGCUGCUUUUUUUGGUAUUUUGCACUACAGACCUGGAUGUCUUUUAAAAAAAUUGAUGCUCAUACAAAAAUGCAUAACGUAAUAUUCUUCGCAUCGCUUUUGGAGUCAAUUAGUUAACAGAUAUACUGUCAGGCUUUUUCUACGCAGUUGCUAACAAUGUUUUUUUACGCGAAUUUUUUAAUUAACUCGGUUUUUACGCGAAUUUUCGAAUUACCGCGUUUUUUACGACUGUAUUUUCAUCUCAACUGCUAUCUCCGACUUUACUGGUUAUUGCCCUAAUAAAAGGUAUCUUUUUUUUUUCCUGGGCUUGGUGGUUGAGCUCCAAUCUUGGGUUCUUAUAGCUCUACAGAAACCUUCAAGAUAGAGCCACAAAGUUGUUUCAGCUUUGACAACCCAAGGGCGCGUGCUUCCGGGUGGCGGAUGGGAGCUAAGGGAGAUCGUGAGAGUCAGAUACCUAUGUUGUAGCCUUCCUACUCUGAUCUCGGCAUUCUCCUAUGGGGAGGAUUCAUGACAAUAUUAAUUGUUAAUAGUUUUGGUGAAUUCUCUUCACACGUGGACCAGACCACAUUGUGCAAGCUCUGUUCUCAUCUAGAAUGUGAUAAUUACAUACUUUUUAAUUCUGUGCAGUUGUAGUAGCCGUAGGAGUAGAAACAAGAGUCUGUGUUUUAAGGCGAGGUGCGCAAAGAGAAAAGCAGUAAACCCGGCAACCAUCUGCUAAUGUUUUAUUUUAUUUGAACAGUUCUGCUAAUCAGAUUUAACUUCGCAUGACUUCAAGUACGCACUGGAAGGUGUCAUGAACUUUGUGAGAAUAAAUAAAUUUUUAGGUUUGACUCGCAACGUUUGAGUUCCAAUGCCUCACUCGCAAUAUUGACCACAACUUAAAGACAUUUCGUUGAACUACAAUUGUGUGUGAUUCAAAAAAUGCAUUCUAAGUACAACACAUAUUUUGUACGAAAUAUUAAGUUCGAGAUUGUUUUCUUUGCAGCUUCAAUUCAACGGUUUUACAAGCGUUUGCGAUCUCACUCCUUGCGCAUCACGUUUUGGUUUAGUAUUUAUGUGUCAGUUCUAUUUUUUCUUUCGUACAGGUGUUUAUUCAGGUGUCUGGUGCGGGGGCGGGACCGAUCGACUUUCGAUGGGUUUGGGAUUGUUUUGGGCCCCCCAUGAAGCGGGGAGACCUUGGUUCUGGCUUUCGGUCAUCAAGUUUAAUUUUUUUUUCACAAAUCGGAGCCCUACUCUGAUGUAUUUGCGUAUGUUUAUGUAUGUAUAUAUGAACGUUUUUUUUUCUUCAUAUAUAUUGUUACACUAGAACAAAUUUUUAUUCUUUUUCUUUUUUUCUUUUCUCUUGCCAUUUUUUUCUGACCUUUCACACGUUAAAAUGAGUACGAUAUCGGUGAGAGGCAACAAUUUAUCAUUCACAGAUUCACACUUAGAAUCGGAAACGGAUGAAUUUCUUCGAUAAUCGCCAAAUGAGGACAGGGAAAUGAAAUAAAGAGACAACACAACCAAACAUAACCGAUCCAAACAAACACCAGAACCAAGGCAGUUGAAAAGAAGGAAGUAUCACCACAGCCAAGUGAAGUGCUGUUCGCGAUGCGACUUGUUUGGGAUUCAUGCAGGAUGAUGAGCUAACCGUAGACAAAGAGCAACACUGGCAAAUCCUGUAGCAGAAGCAUUUUAAGGAGUUUUACGCCAAAAGUAUUGAGUUAUUCAUGGUCUAAAGAACCAAGGAGCAAAGCGUGUGCGGUGCGCGUUCAAACGGAAAGAAAUAGCAACAGUAGCUCGAGCGGACUUCACGACAGACCUCCCGGUUACCAGGUUUAAGCUCAAAUUAUGAAACAAACAAAAACAACGUGAUUGCGGCGACCAAAUUGAUUAACUAACACCGACCAGUUCCUAGAGCAUCAAUCAGUAAACCUCGCAAAUAUCCUCCAUUGAAAAUGUCGAUGAUCUUACCAGUAUCCUAGGACAAUCAGGAAUUCAUCUUGAAGCGUAGUGGCGUAAGCAAGCUUUGGACACACUUGAGGGCAACCGGAUAUUUGAAAGCCAAACGUGCUGGAUGUGGCUCACACCAUCCUUAUUUAUAUCAGUAAAAGCUAACGGCAAUUUGCGUCGAUAAUAAUAUCUUUGUUACCACUUUAAACCCACUGGUGUCCCCUGCUAGACCAUAAGUGAAGGCGACAUUGAUCGGAGGAGAGAAAAAAAUUAAGGCACGCCUGUACACCUAUACCUGGAAUCAAAUAUGUAAAAACAAACAAGAAUCUGCAACGGAAUUUGCUCAGAGAUACAAAACGAAAAAGUAACAAAAACUAUCAGUUUAUUAUCAGGAAAACCUUUUAGAUUAUGUUUUCAACUUGAUUCCGUUAGGUUUAAGAAAAAGAAACAAAAAAUGUUCUACUAGUAUCAAAUCUAUAUCAAACUCUGUUACUAACGUAUCUAUUUCCUAACAUAAUGAAAUAGUAUAUAAAAUAGGCAACCAUUGUUAGAAAAACACGCUCUAAUAGAAUUGAGACUAUGUUGAACAACAACUUAAUUUCAGGACUUGUUAUCAGAUCUCAUUCAGAUUCAUGUUUGUUAUCAGAAGCAUUUGGCAAAAUACAAAAUUGAAUCAGAAUAUGAUAUUUAUAUUUCGUGUAGAUAUAACGUAAUUUUUUUUAGUUGUGCUCUUCUGAUCAGGAAGUUCCAAACGAAAUUGGAAAUCAUUUUGCUGCAUUUGUUGACGGCUGAGGCAGAGUUAUUAGCGUAUAAGCCCAACCAGUUCUGGUUCUGAUCAAUUGUUAGGCUAUUUAAAUUUUCGUUCUAGUUUGUUUUUGAGCGUAAAAUAUUAUAUUAUAAGAUUUUAAUUAAACUAAUUCUUAUGUCAAAAAAUAGAGCCAAAGUAAAUAUAGUAGUUACUCGAGGCAUUAUUUGUAGACCGAGCAGCGUAGGACGUUGUUUAUUGAAAAGCUGUUCAGCCAUAAAAAAAAAAUCACGGUAAACAUAAAUUUCAAUCUGAUUGUUAGGAGCAUUUGUUGUAUUUCGUGUAGCGUAAAACGUUAUUUUUACAAUAAAACGUUAUUUUCUAU